AGCUCCAAUAGCGUAUACUAAAGUUGUUGCAGUUAAAAAGCUCGUAGUUGGAUUUCUGGCUUGUGCUUUUCGGACCCGCCUGACGGUGUGUGUCCGAAUGCCGGCCAUCUUUCUGCGGACGUUGUCUGACAUUCAUUUGUUGGGUUUCUGCGAGCAGAUAUUUUACCUUGAGAAAAUUAGAGUGUUUCAGGCAGGCUUAGCCCGAAUACAUUAGCAUGGAAUAAUAGAACAGGACUCCGGUGUCAUUUGUUGGUUUGAGGCAGUGGAGUAAUGAUUAAUAGGGAUAGUUGGGGGCAUUAGUACUUAAUUGUCAGAGGUGAAAUUCUCGGAUUUGUUAAAGACUAACUUAUGCGAAAGCAUUUGCCAAGGAUGUUUUCAUUAAUCAAGAACGAAAGUACGC
rnacentral:rRNA from 1 species